CUUCCGGCGUUUGGCGGGAUCUUUGUCUCUUCCUGGCGUUGGCACAGGAACUUGGGAUCCGUCUCCUCUUUCGCCUCCUCCACUUUGGGAGCCCCGGGCUACUCUUUCACAGCCCCUGUUGCCCUGUGAUCUGUACGUCCUUGGGGACGCACAGUUAAGAUGCCAGGACAUCCUGGAAGCUGGGAAAUGUUAGCAUUUCAUCAUAUCAAUGUGAAGAUUUCUUCCAGACCAUGGCUGGAGAAGGAAAGAAGGUGUGUUUUGCCUGAUUCAGCGACUAUAGAGAGAACCAAGUUCUGCAGGCCUGUCACCUAAGUCUCAGGCUGGACACGGUGGCUGACGCCUGUAAUCCCAGCACUGUAGGAGGCCGAUGUGUGUGGAUCAUGGGGUUAGGAGAUCGAGACCAUCCUGGACAACAUAAUGAAACCCCGUCUCUACUGGAAAUACAAAAGUUAGCCGGGCGUGGUGCCAUCUGCCUAUAGUCCCAGCUACUCGGGUGGCUGAGGCAGGAGAAUUGCUUGAACCUGGGAGGUGGAGGUUGUAGUGAGCUGAGAUCAUGCCACUGCAUUCCAGCCUGGGAAACAGAGUGAGACUUCAUCUCAAAAAAAAAAAAAAAAUUACCGUUAAUAGGCACCUAGGUUGAUUCAUGUCUUUCCUAUUAUAAAUAAUGCAGUGAUGAACCAACAAGUGCAUGUGCUAUUUUGGUAGAAUAGUUUAUUCUCUUCUGGGUAUAUACGCAGUGGAGAAAUUGCUGCAUUGAAUCAUAGUUUAACUCUCAGUUAUUUGGAAAAUCUCCAAACCACUCUCCACAGUGGCUGAACUAAUUUACCUUCCUAUUAACAGUGUAUAAGUGAUUUUUUCCCUCUAAAACCCCAUCAACAUCUAUUAUCAUUUUACUUUUUAAGAAAAACCAUUGUAACUGGUGUACAAUGAUGUCUUAUUGUGGUUUUUAUUUACAUUUCCUUGAUGGUUAGUGAUGAUAAGCUUUUUUCAUGUUAUUUGGCCACUUGUACGUAUUCUUUUGAACAGAGUCUGUUAUUGCCCACUUUUUCAUGGGGUAAAUUUUUGCUUGUGAAUUCUUUAAGUUUCUUACAGGUUCUCAGUAUUAGAUUUUGUCAGGUUCAUAGGUUAUGAAUAUUUUUCCCAUUCUGCUAGCUUUGGGGUUAGUUUGUUUUUAUUUUUCUAGUUUCUCUAAGUGUGAUGUUAAAUUGCUAGUUUGAGAUCUUUCUAACUUCUUGAUGCAGGUAUUUAGCACUCUCAACUUUCCUCUUAAAAGUGCUUUUCCUACAUCCCAUACAUUUUGUUAUAUUGUGUCUCUUCUAUUUCAAAAUCUUUUUAAUUUUCUACUUUAAUUUUUGUCUUUACCCAAAAUUCAUUCAGGAGCAAGUUGUUUAAUUUCAAUAUGAUUCUGUGAUUUUGUGAGAUUUUCUUGGUAUUCAUUUUUAUCUUUGUUCCAUUGUGGCCUGACAGUAUGGUUGGCAUAAUUUUGUUUUUUUUUUAAAUGUAUUGAGAAUUGCUUUAUGGCUAGUAAGUGGUCAAUCCUAGACUAUAUUUUGUGAGCAAAUGAGAAGAAUUUACUUCCUUAGAUGAUGGGUGGUGUAUACUAUAAAUGUCUAUUAGUUUCAAUUGAUCAAGUGUCAAAUCAAAUUCCAGAAUUUCUUUGUUAAGUUUCUGCCUGGAUAAUCUGUCAAACACUGUUAGUGAGGAGUUGCAUUCCCCUACUAUUAUUGUGUGUCUGCUUGAGUCUUAUUGUAGGUCUAGCAGUACUUGUUUUAUAACUCUAUGUUCCCCAAAGUUGGGUGCAUCUACAUUUAGGAUAGUUAAGUCUUUUUGAUGAAUUGAACCCUUUAUCAUUAUGCAAUAACUUUCUUUGUUUUAUUUUACUAUUAAUGAUUUAUAGUCUUUUUUUCUUAAAAGAGAAACAAUUCCAGGUAUGGUGGCUUAUGCCAGCACUUUCAGACUGAUGCAGUAGGAUUGCCUGAGACCAGGAGUUUGAGACCAGCCAGGGCAACAUAACAACAUUCUGUUUGUACAAAUUUUUCUUAAAGAAACUAUACAGCUGUGGUAGUGUGCCCAACAGUGGUCAUAUUUACUCAGGAGACAUAGGUGGCAUGACUGCUCGACUUCAGAAAUUUGAGGUUACAGUGAGCUGUGAUUGCACCACUGCACUCUGUCCCAGGAGAUAGAGUAAGAUCCUGUGUAC